GAUAAUUUUUCAAUUAUUAAAACUGUAAAUUUUGUUAUUUUGAAAACAAAAAUUAUCA
rnacentral:tRNA from 1 species